rnacentral:rRNA from 1 species
GAUGAACGCUAGCGGCAGGCCUAACACAUGCAAGUCGAGGGGCAUCAGGAACAAUAGCAAUAUUGUUUGCUGGCGACCGGCGCACGGGUGCGUAACACGUAUGCAACCUACCUCAUACAGGGGCAUAGCCCAGAGAAAUCUGGAUUAAUUCCCCAUAAUAUAUAGAUAAGGCAUCUUAUUUAUAUUAAAGUUUCGGCGGUAUGAGAUGGGCAUGCGUCCAAUUAGCUAGUUGGUGAGGUAAAGGCUCACCAAGGCUACGAUUGGUAGGGGGUCUGAGAGGAUGAUCCCCCACACUGGUACUGAGACACGGACCAGACUCCUACGGGAGGCAGCAGUGAGGAAUAUUGCGCAAUGGAGGAAACUCUGACGCAGCCAUGCCGCGUGAAGGAUUGAAUGCCCUAUGGGUUGUAAACUUCUUUUGUACGGGAAUAAACCCUUGCUCGUGAGCGAGGUUGAAGGUACCGUAAGAAUAAGCACCGGCUAACUCCGUGCCAGCAGCCGCGGUAAUACGGAGGGUGCAAGCGUUAUCCGGAUUUAUUGGGUUUAAAGGGUCCGUAGGCGGAUCGUUAAGUCAGUGGUGAAAGCCCACAGCUCAACUGUGGAACUGCCAUUGAUACUGGCGAUCUCGAGUGCGUGUGAAGUUAGCGGAAUGUGUGGUGUAGCGGUGAAAUGCUUAGAUAUCACACAGAACACCAAUUGCGAAGGCAGCUGGCUAACACGCAACUGACGCUGAGGGACGAAAGUGUGGGGAUCAAACAGGAUUAGAUACCCUGGUAGUCCACACCGUAAACGAUGAUUACUAGAUUUUGGCCGCAAGGUCAGAGUCCAAGCGAAAGUGUUUAGUAAUCCACCUGGGGAGUACGUCCGCAAGGAUG